GCCCCUCAUCUCUGUCCAGGUUCAUUAAGAAUUUUUGUAUGAGUUUGCAUUUUUAAAAAAAUGUCCUAAACCUACAAAUAACCUAAUAUCCAAAGCUGCUUUGUUUCACACUCCGUCCAGUUUCAUUAAGAAUUUUCGUAUGAGUUUGUAGUUAAAACUUAUCAAUUUCCAUGAAAACAAUGUGUGCACAUAGGGUAUCUUGACUGGAAAAUUGCUCCACAUGAUAAAUAUUACGAUCAUUAGCAUUAAUUGCAAUGUUUAAAAAUGUUAAUGAUAAUCCACACUAACCUCAUUUCAGAUUUUAUUUUCCUCUCAAUACUUUAUUAAUUCAACUAGAUCCCUUUGGUAUUUUAGAGUUAUUUAUGCAACGUACAAAUUAAAAUAAAAUGCAAUUAAAAAAGUUAUGUGGAAUGCUCAGAUCAAGGUUAUAUGAAAAUAGCACAAUGAGAAACAUCUUCAAUAAAAUUAUACAAUACAAUGUGCCCGAUUGCCAACAUCACAGCACUAGGAGAUAUUUUAAAUAAUAAAAGUUCACUAUAAAUUCUGUUAACCAUUUAAAACAUGAAGUUAUAAAACUUUUAUCCAAUAAUCUGUAAAAUUGCACUAAACCACUGAAAAUUA